AAUUUGCCUAAUGAGGUACUGCAGCCCACCUGUGUGAAAGGAGACCAGAGUCGGGACGCAGCUGGAGUUCUCGCUCGUUUCUAACGUUAUAAAAAGGACAAUUUCCCUCCCAAGUUGGCUGACAAAUUGGUGGAAAUGCUGGACACCAGCUGGACUCCAGGGUAGUGUUUGUCGGCGACUCGACACGCAGAGGGUUCAGAGACAGUUGGGAUAGACCUGCUGGAGGUCCCACAGCUCAAGGCAAGCUAAAACCCUCAUUCUGCGUCCCACACCCCUCCUAUCCUGAGUUUCCUUUCCUCUGACUCAACUGCCACAGUCACAUUUUCUCUCCAGUUUU